rnacentral:lncRNA from 1 species
UGGCCGGUUCAGUCAACUCGUUUCAGAGUCAUAAUUUGGUCUGCCGAUAUCCUUAUCGCGAUGAACAUGGCAAGCCCGCACAAUCUCUUGCCACUCAUGGAUGCUCUUUUCCAAGUUUUCAGUCGUUUCAGGGCAGUCUGUGUUUCUAAAGGAAGCACAUUAUCAUCAACACAAUGAUCAAUGUCUUCUUCCAAUUCCUUCUCCAUCAGCAAUUUGGUAGCAGCAUCGGUAGUAACAGUUUUGUUUGCAAAAGGGAAUUAAGCUUUCCUGUAAGCACCAUCAUACAGUUGCAGUUACAAAAUAUUAAACUCGCUUUUAUGCUGACAAAGAGUAGACAAACUAGGGAUAGAAUGAGAUAAGAUAAAUGUAUAUGAUUCUAUCUAUAGAGUAUAUAUGAUAUGGGUACAGGGGAAUUGGAAUGGAGUUUUUGACGUUUACAUGUAGGUCCAUAAUUUCAAAUUAUUUCUGGAAAUAGUUGGUGGUAUUUUAGUUCCAGAAUCUAUAAAUUUAGGGGUUAGGGGUAUGGGUUGUCCGAUUCCGAAACCCCGAAUAUAAAGAAACGAAAUUCCGUAGUCCCGAAUAAGUAAAGACAAAAUCCUGUGUUAAAGGUUCUACCAUUCCUCAAUAAUAUCAAAUUGGAAUAUGGGAUAUUCUUUCAAUUUUUAAGGUUAAAGAAACAUGGAUAGAAACUAAUCCAUGCAUGUUUCAUAUUAUUUAUAUUUUAUUUAUCCGUAAAGAGAAAGAUUAAAGUUCGUGAAAGGAAUACGCAGACAGGACUGCCCCCUUGCGAUGACUUGAUUUGUCAAAAGUUGGUUAAACGGAGAAAUGAAUACGUAGACAGAACUG